rnacentral:rRNA from 1 species
CCUACGUGUGGCAGCAGUGGGGAAUAUUGGACAAUGGGCGAAAGCCUGAUCCAGCCAUGCCGCGUGUGUGAAGAAGGCCUUCGGGUUGUAAAGCACUUUCAGUGGGGAAGAAAGCCUUGGGGCUAAUACCCUCGAGGAAGGACAUCACCCACAGAAGAAGCACCGGCUAACUCCGUGCCAGCAGCCGCGGUAAUACGGAGGGUGUGAGCGUUAAUCGGAAUUACUGGGCGUAAAGCGCGCGUAGGCGGUCUGAUAAGCCGGUUGUGAAAGCCCCGGGCUCAACCUGGGAACGGCAUCCGGAACUGUCAGGCUAGAGUGCAGGAGAGGAAGGUAGAAUUCCCGGUGUAGCAGUGAAAUGCUUAGAGAUCGGGAGGAAUACCAGUGGCGAAGGCGGCCUUCUGGACUGACACUGACGCUGAGGUGCGAAAGCGUGGGUAGCAAACAGGAUUAGAUACCCGUGUAGUC